rnacentral:tRNA from 1 species
GGUUUGUGGCUUAAUGGUAGAGUACUUGCCUAGCAUGUGUGAGGCACUGGGUUCGAUUCUCAGAACCA